GCCGCGUUAGCUCAGGGGUAGAGCACGAUCAUGGUAAGAUCGGGGUCUUGGGUUCAAAUCCCAAACGUGGCUCCA
rnacentral:tRNA from 1 species